CUGGCUGUAUAGUGGCAUUGGUGCAGUGGGAUGACAUUCUUCUAGGAACCAUGAAUGCUCUACCUCGAUCUGCAUUCCUCCAAGUUGGAACGACCCUUCCUCUAGUGUUAAUAUAUUAGUAUGAGAUAUCGACCGACGUCAGAGGGGCUAGAGCAAACAAUCGAGAUUGGUCUUCCGAGGGCACAAUCUAUAAGAAAAGUUCUGACCGGAGGUGGCUUCGAUGGAAUCUUUCGAUGCUCAAGUCAGUAUCUUGUUCAACAGA
rnacentral:lncRNA from 1 species